rnacentral:tRNA from 1 species
GGGCUCGUAGCUCAGUUUGGCAGAGCAAUUGGCUCUUAACCAAUGGGUCGAGGGUUCAAAACCAUCCUUUUUCU